GCCAGCAUGGCAUAGUGGUUUGAGUGUCAGACUACAACUCUAGAGACCAGUGUUCAAUUCUCAGCUUGGCC